UUUUUCCCACUGUGAAUAGAAUUAUUUUUUGUCCAUUCAUUUAUAGAAAAACUCCCGUAGUAGGUAUAUCUCUCCGUGUGCAUCAGUGCAUCGUCGUUGUCGCCUCUAUGUUUUUCGCCGCGAAACUUCUCGAACAGUUCCAACAAGUCGCGGUAAACGAUUUAUUUUAUUUUCUCGAUCAUGAGCUCCGGAAAAGCCUCGGGAAAAGCGGUGCUAGGAGCAGUGAAUAACUCAUGGGAUUGGAAGUUUUUCUCAAAUUGCUGAACGGCAAAACAUCUUAAUGUCUGCAAUGAACAUCCAACGAGCAACUUUGCAGAUUUCUGGUGCUGCUACACAUUUAUACCUACAUGUUGAAUAAAACUAUGAAAUAAAAUAAAUAAAAUCUAU